CUUUCACCAACACUGUGGUUACAUCAUUGCCUGGCACGAUGAACACUUUCCUGGCUCCUCCAAGGCCUGGGUGUCAGGCAGCUCCCAGAGAGGGUCCCCAGGAGGUGCUCUCCUGUCUUACAAAGGCACCAUCUGAGCAUGAGGGGGAAGGAGGGCACAGAGAGGACGCACUGAGCUCCUGACCACCUCAGCAUCCCCUGUCCUCAGGGAGUGAAGAGGCCCCCACCUAAGGAUGUGGAGUCUGAGAGGGGUAGCAGAAGCCACAGCUAUGUUGUGCCUAGGAACUCUGUGUCCUACAUUUCUACUCAGAUUUUCUUCUGACCAUCCAUUACCAUUUGUGGGACGACAGAGUGAAGCCAACAAGGAUUGAAGGGAGGAAGAAAUGGUGCUCUUACCCCUUUCCGAGACAAGGAGCCUUGACUCAUGGGUUGAAGUCCCCAUGAACAGGUGUAGGGUGUCACUGCAUCUCUUAUCCAGAAGAGCUUUGGAUCGGGGGACAUGGGCCAGACAGAAAGCUAAUGCAGAGUCCUCCCCUGGCUCUUUCAAGUUUUCUUUUCUUGGAAGCAGAUGGAGUAGCAUGCUGUAAGAGACCAUCGCCAGAAGGACACACUGGAGUUGCACAGUGGUACCCGGAACACGUAACUAACUGCUCACUUAUGGGCGCAUCUGGGAGGGAGAACGUAAAAGUUGACCAAGAGAACAGAAGCAAGGUUUUAGGGAUAAGCAAGGGGAGGUGGGAAAAAGGCAGGAAGGAAUCAGUGGGUCUUAGGAAAAUCCAAACCCAUGCUCCAGAUUCUCUCUGGAGUCUCCAUCUUGUUAUUUGAAGAAAGCCAACCUGAGUCCUGCAGCUACAAGAUGAAUUCUACCAACAACCUGAGGAAGGCUGAAUACAGAUCCUUGCUCUGGUGAGUCUCUGAAGCAAACUCAGCCCAGGGUGGUCCCUGGAUCA
rnacentral:lncRNA from 1 species